AUAAUUCUUUAGUUCAUAAGCGUGAUGAUUGGGUGUUCACGCUAUUGCGUGAGAUGUGCUUCCCUCUAAACUUUGUUAUGACAUCGAUACAUUACCUGACUGACA
rfam:Ictidomys tridecemlineatus contig126635, whole genome shotgun sequence.